rnacentral:rRNA from 1 species
UGGUGGAGCGAUUUGUCUGGUUAAUUCCGAUAACGUACGAGACUCUAGCCUACUAAAUAGUUCGGGGACCCCCACAAAGGGGCCCCGCUUCAACUUCUUAGAGGGACAGGUGGCGUUUAGCCACACGAGAUUGAGCAAUAACA